rnacentral:rRNA from 1 species
UACGGAGGGUGCGAGCGUUAUCCGGAUUCACUGGGUUUAAAGGGUGCGUAGGUGGGUUUGUAAGUCAGUGGUGAAAUCUCCAGGCUUAACCUGGAAACUGCCAUUGAUACUAUAGAUCUUGAAUUUUCUGGAGGUAAGCGGAAUAUGUCAUGUAGCGGGUGAAAUGCUUAGAUAUGACAUAGAACACCAAUUGCGAAGGCAGCUUGCUACAGGGAUAUUGACACUGAGGCACGAAAGCGUGGGGAGUCAAACAGGA